UUCCUACGGGGCGCAGCAGUGGGGAAUAUUGGGCAAUGGGCGCAAGCCUGACCCAGCAACGCCGCGUGAAGGAAGAAGGCUUUCGGGUUGUAAACUUCUUUCCUGAGGGACGAAGAAAGUGACGGUACCUCAGGAAUAAGCCACGGCUAACUACGUGCCAGCAGCCGCGGUAAUACGUAGGUGGCAAGCGUUAUCCGGAUUUACUGGGUGUAAAGGGAGCGCAGGCGGCACGGCAAGCCUGAUGUGAAAGCCCGCGGCCCAACCGCGGGACUGCAUUGGGAACUACCGGGCUGGAGUGCCGGAGG
rnacentral:rRNA from 1 species